AUGAAUGGCAUGGCAACUCUAAAUAUAAAUGAUGGAAAAUGGGUAAACAAAUUAAAAUAAAUUUUAAUUUGGUGCGGAAAAAAAUAUCCGUCUCCGCAGCCGCAAUAUUGUAUUUCUACCCAUAGAUAGAACAUAUCUUAACCGCAACAGAAAAGAGGUCAUCAACACCAUUAGGCAACCCAUUAACAACAAUAUCGGCACGAUUAAGUCUUUUGUGCAAAAUAUUAUUCUCCAACGCAGUUAGCUUUCUGGUUGUCGAUACUAUGUAUAAGUUUGUUGCAGUCAACAAUCUUAGACUUCAUUUCUUAUUUAUUAAAAAAUAAAUAUAAAGAUAUUCAAAUUUGUGAGGAAAAUAUAUUCUAUUCCGGCAGCUUAAUUUGCAAAAUUUAAUUUGGAUCUCUAUGCUCUUCAAUUUCCGGUCUUUUGUGUUGAGCGUGAUUCGACCGGUUUCCUCACGCUCCCCUGGAGGUUUUCCGAACAUUUGAGACACGUUGUGGUAACUACUCCAGUAAAUCCGCACUUAUAGCAGAAUAAGUUUCGCUGCAUGGAUGGACAUUCUUUAAAUAAAUGACCUGCUCAUCCCUAUAUUAUUUAUUGGUUUCUAUAAUGAGUUCGCGGAUUAAACCUGCAUAUGCUCUGGGACUAUGUCCUAUGGAGAUUCCUCUUUGUAAUUGGGGAAUUGGUGGCGGUGGCAUAUUAUAGUUUAUUAUGGUCUAGGAUUAUGAAUCUUUGGAAUUGCUCCUGUUGAUUGCCCUGAAUUUUCCUUACUGGGUUCGGUUUGGUUCUCUUAGCAAGUAUUGGGAGUUUUAAUUGUUUCGAACAUAUCUAUAAUAUCGCCUGCUUCUAUGUUUUCAGUUCCCGGAGGUGUUCUUUGAAUGGGCAUCGUGAAUACUAAUAUCUUUGAAUUCUAAUUUAUAAAUUUAUCAAUUUUUCCUAAUAGUUAUGAGACAAACGUUAAACACAAUAUAUUAACAUAUAAUACUAUACUAACUUAAUAAAAAAAUAAAAUUUUACAAAACA